rnacentral:lncRNA from 1 species
UCAUUCUCCAACAUCUCCAUUUCAUAUCAUCUCUAAUCAUUUCAUUUCCAAGUGUUUUAACCCCAAGAAGUUCAAUCUACCACUUAUGCAUUAUGUUUAUUUUCAUUGCACCUAAUUCAUAUUAAACGGAAUCAUUCUUUAGUCUAAAUUAGUUAGAUAAUUAUAUGAUUGUAAAGUUUUAUACGAGUCUCUUGGGAUACGAUAUUCGGUCUUACCGGUUCAUUACUUAGAACGAUUUGGUAUGCUUGCCAAGGAGUUAACACCCCACCUCCCAGCUUUCUCUCACUCUUUCAAUUUUUGAGAUCUGUUUCUUCCUACCUUCGUCUCACUCUCUUCUUUCUUUCGGUGAGAUCCGUUUCUUCUCAUUCCAAUUCUCUCUUUGUUUUGUACGGAGGGAUUCUACGAUUUUGACAUGAUUGACGAGCAAGAUGAGUUCCCUUGCAUCAUACACAUUCAAUCUGCGUAUCAACAUUCCUCUCUCUCCUAAAGGUUUUCAUAUGCAUCACGCACUCACAAUCAAUAAAUUCAUAAAUCAUUCAACUUGGUCAUGAUGAUAGUUAUGUUAGAAUUAUUAAUUCCUUCAAUUCAACUGCGACAAAAGCAACAGUGGUAAUCCAUACCUGAAAAUAUACUCUACUAGAUAUAGUAAAUAAGAAACCACCUUUAUUACAAUAAACAUUUAAUGGAAAAGACUCUAGUACAUCUUUGUGACCAAAACAAAACAAAACAAAACACAACAUUGGAAGAGUUGGGGUGAGAAGAAACGGAUCUCACCGAAAGAGAGAAGAGAGUGAGACUGAAGUGGGAAGAAAUAGAUCUCAAAGAGAGAAAGAGUGAGAGAAAGUUGGGGGGUGGGGUUGAGAGUGAAAGUGAACAACUAUUUAGGAUUUGGUAAAUAAAUAAGAUUAAAAGUAAAAUGGUUAGAAAUUAAAGGAUAAUUAUGCCAUUAAAAAAUUUGUGGGGAGGUGGAGGGAGAAGGAGUGGUGAUAGAAGGAGCAACACCCAAAAUAUGUUAAGUUAAAGAAUAAUGUGCUAUUAGAGUAUGACACACGGAUAUAUGACCAUAUAGAAAUAAGUCAAUUUAUGGUCGGAUAACAACAAGUUGAUUCGUGUCUAGAUAGAAAAAGACCAACUUAUGAUCGGAUAGAAAACGAAUAGUUUGUGGCCGAUAACAUAAGUUGUCUACAUUACACUUACAUUUAUAGAAUAUGUGUUUUGAAAAUAGUUUUUUAU